rnacentral:rRNA from 1 species
GUUUGAUCCUGGCUCAGAACGAACGCUGGCGGCAGGCCUAACACAUGCAAGUCGAGCGCACCUUCGGGUGAGCGGCGGACGGGUGAGUAACGCGUGGGAAUAUGCCCUUUGGUACGGAAUAGUCCUGGGAAACUGGGGGUAAUACCGUAUGCGCCCUUCGGGGGAAAGAUUUAUCGCCAAAGGAUUAGCCCGCGUUGGAUUAGGUAGUUGGUGGGGUAAUGGCCUACCAAGCCGACGAUCCAUAGCUGGUUUGAGAGGAUGAUCAGCCACACUGGGACUGAGACACGGCCCAGACUCCUACGGGAGGCAGCAGUGGGGAAUCUUAGACAAUGGGGGCAACCCUGAUCUAGCCAUGCCGCGUGAGUGAUGAAGGCCCUAGGGUUGUAAAGCUCUUUCAGCUGGGAAGAUAAUGACGGUACCAGCAGAAGAAGCCCCGGCUAACUCCGUGCCAGCAGCCGCGGUAAUACGGAGGGGGCUAGCGUUGUUCGGAAUUACUGGGCGUAAAGCGCACGUAGGCGGACCGGAAAGUUGGGGGUGAAAUCCCGGGGCUCAACCCCGGAACUGCCUUCAAAACUAUCGGUCUGGAGUUCGAGAGAGGUGAGUGGAAUUCCGAGUGUAGAGGUGAAAUUCGUAGAUAUUCGGAGGAACACCAGUGGCGAAGGCGGCUCACUGGCUCGAUACUGACGCUGAGGUGC